rnacentral:rRNA from 1 species
UACGUAGGGUGCGAGCGUUGUCCGGAAUUAUUGGGCGUAAAGAGCUCGUAGGCGGUCUGUCGCGUCGAUCGUGAAAACUUGGGGCUUAACCCUGAGCUUGCGGUCGAUACGGGCAUGACUGGAGUUCGGCAGGGGAGACUGGAAUUCCUGGUGUAGCGGUGAAAUGCGCAGAUAUCAGGAGGAACACCAAUGGCGAAGGCAGCUCGCUGGGACGGUACUGACGCUGAGGAGCGAAAGCGUGGGGAGCGAACAGG